rnacentral:misc_RNA from 1 species
CAAGAGACUUCCUGACAAGAAAAAGCCCUUGUACUCUCACAGUUUGCCUUGCAUUGAGGCUUGGCUUAGGGAUAUAGGGUUUUACCAGACCAAGGACGACCGUGCCGUUUGGUUGAUUGAACAGCCCGAGUGGCACGCCCAAUUGUCUCUUGAUAUAACUGAUCUGUAUAUAAGGUACUUGAAGAGUGGACCAGGAAAUCUUGAAAAAGAUGUGGAGAGGAGAUUCAGCUAUGCAUUAAGUCGGGAGGAUAUUGAAAAUGCUAUUCUUGGAGGACCUUAGAGAGAAGAGAACAAUCAUUCCUCCUGCCAUUGUAUGUUGUAGCUACUAAUGGGAGUAAUUUACCUCCAGGAGUUGCAUUAUUUAUUAUAUAUUCAAGUAGAAUAUUAUUACUAACUCCUCCGAUGAGCAAUUCUUUAUUUUUUCAGUUUGGAGCAUUGGUAACAUCAGUCGGGCCUUUGUUUUAUAAUUUUCUUUGGUUGUGAUCUCCAA